rnacentral:rRNA from 1 species
GAUCCUGGCUUAGGAUGAACGCUGGCGGCAGGCUAAUACAUGCAAGUCGAACGGUAAGGUCCGAAGUGGCAACACGGAGGAUACACGAGUGGCGCACGGGUGCGUAACGCGUAUGCAACCUGCCCCCGACCGGGACAAAACAGCUGGAAACGGCUGCUAAUAUCCCAUGGUCAUGCGGAAGGGCAUCCUUCUUCAUGUAAAGAUUCAUUGGGUCGGGGAUGGGCAUGCGUAUUAUUAGGUAGUUGGCGGGGUAACGGCCCACCAAGCCGACGAUGAUUAGGGGUCCUGAGAGGGUUAACCCCCACACUGGAACUGAGACACGGUCCAGACUCCUACGGGAGGCAGCAGUAGGGAAUAUUGGGCAAUGGGAGCAAUCCUGACCCAGCCAUGCCCGCGUGAAGGAAGACGGCCCUAUGGGUUGUAAACUUCUUUUGCCGCAGAGUAAACCCGGUCACGAGUGGUCGGUUGAGAGUAUGCGGCGAAUAAGUAUCGGCUAACUCCGUGCCAGCCGCGGC